UGUGUGUGUGGCAGUGUCUCCAUGGUGACGGGGCUGUUCCUGGGGAGGCUGUGAUGGGUUGACAGGUGCGUGACAGUCGGAGCUCUCUGCAGGCAUGUACGGCAAAGGCAAGAGCAACAGCAGCGUCCCGUCCGACAGCCAGGCCAGGGAGAAGUUAGCACUGUAUGUAUAUGAAUAUCUGCUCCAUGUAGGAGCACAGAAAUCUGCCCAGACAUUUUUAUCAGAGAUAAGAUGGGAAAAAAACAUCACGUUGGGGGAGCCUCCAGGAUUCUUGCACUCUUGGUGGUGUGUAUUUUGGGAUCUCUACUGUGCAGCUCCAGAAAGACGAGAAACGUGUGAACAUUCAAGUGAAGCUAAAGCCUUUCAUGAUUAUAGUGCUGCAGCAGCUCCCAGUCCAGUGCUAGGAAACAUUCCCCCAGGAGAUGGCAUGCCAGUAGGUCCUGUACCACCGGGUUUUUUUCAGCCUUUUAUGUCCCCUCGAUACCCUGGAGGUCCAAGGCCACCUUUAAGAAUACCCAAUCAGGCACUUGGAGGUGUCCCAGGAAGUCAGCCAUUAUUGCCCAGUGGGAUGGACCCAACACGACAACAAGGGCAUCCAAACAUGGGUGGGCCAAUGCAGAGAAUGACUCCUCCAAGAGGAAUGGUUCCAUUAGGACCACAGAACUAUGGAGGUGCAAUGAGACCGCCACUGAAUGCUUUAGGUGGCCCUGGAAUGCCUGGAAUGAACAUGGGUCCAGGAGGUGGUAGACCGUGGCCAAACCCAACGAAUGCCAAUUCUAUACCGUACUCUUCAGCAUCUCCUGGGAAUUAUGUAGGUCCUCCAGGGGGUGGAGGGCCACCAGGAACACCCAUCAUGCCUAGUCCUGCAGAUUCAACUAACUCUGGAGACAACAUGUACACUUUAAUGAAUGCAGUACCACCUGGACCCAACAGAUCUAAUUUUCCAAUGGGCCCGGGAUCAGAUGGACCUAUGGGUGGAUUGGGUGGAAUGGAAUCACAUCAUAUGAAUGGAUCUUUAGGCUCAGGAGACAUGGACAGUAUUUCCAAAAACUCUCCCAGUAAUAUGAGCAUGAGUAAUCAGCCUGGCACUCCCAGAGAUGAGGGUGAAAUGGGUGGAAAUUUCCUAAACCCUUUUCAGAGUGAGAGUCUUGAAUGAAUCCAUGACUUGACUUUCCUAAGGUUUUGCUACAGUCAUAUUUCUAGAUACCAGGCUUUCUCAAUAACAAGCCAAAGUACUCCCCCAGCAUGACAAUGAGUGUGUGAUCCAUACCAAGUCUCCUCAUGAAGACCGCAGUGAGUUGGCCCUCUUCAGAGAGCUACUACAGAAGAAAAUUACUCGUCCCAGUGUACAGUUUAACAAAAGGAUCUCAGACACAACCAGACCCACCAUCUUUUCCUACCAUCUCCCCAGUUUUGUGAAGAAAGUGGGUCCAAACAUGAUUCAAACAACUAUAAAGAGUGGCAUAACAGAACUGCCCAAGAGUGAACUGCAAACAAUUAUCCUGUGUAUGUAUAAGUGCGGAUAGAUGUAUAUGUGUGUGGAUAUGUUAUAUUGACAUACAUACACACACAUAUACAUAUAUAGACCUGCAGGACAUUGUAAAAUAUUAUCACAUGACAUCUUAAGUAGAAAUAAGAAAUAGAGACUUUUAUUCCAUCUUUUUUUCACGUUUACAUUUUAACUAUUAAAAUUUGCGUUCCCUCUCCCCCCCCCGAACUGUUCUGUGCUGCAUAUAUCACUGCUUUAUAAGUUAUUUUUUAAGGUGAACCCAAAUGGUCAAUUGUUCUGAUUUUGUAAAUGUCUGCCAUCAUGGAUAGGAAUAAAAUUGCUCGUAAGAGGGCUUUCACAAACUUGUAUCAUACCAGUUACCCUGUGAAUCACAAACUGUGCUCUCUCAAGAAAUAGAAGAAAGCUCAUCUUAAUUUUGUGGGGAAAUUUAAUAAUUUGUCACCUGGCUUUAGUGGUGUUGGGGGUUUUUUGUGUUUUUUUUUUAUUUGUUUUGCUUUUUUGUGCUUAGUACCUUUAAAAAUAGGAGCACUGAAGGUUAUUUUUCUUCCUCAAAUGAGGCCUAAUAUCUGUAAAAUCUACUUUAAAUGGAAGUCUGAGUUUGAUACAAGACUCAGUUUAUCCAGAGUAUUUUAACAUUGCUGUAAAUGAGCUCCAGUUGCUAUAGAACCCAGCAAUAAAGUGGCAGGGCUUCUUCAGUCCUUGGAAAUAAGUUUUCCCUUUAGCCUGAUCUUCCAUGUGUGUGGUAGCAAGUAGAAAUACAAUAAAAUCCCUAUUACUGAAACCUCUUUUUCUAACAAACUGCCAGCUUGUCUCCCUUUUCUAUUGAUUCUUGGCUGACUCCCAAUUAUCCAUAGUCCUGAUUAUCAGAACAUAUUUAGUGUCUGCCAAGCCAUUCAAAUAAUCAGGAUUCCACUGUACUUGAUUUGUUAUUUUUCACCAGGAAUACUAAAGCUGAACUCCUUAGAAACUUUCCAGUACAUAAUCACAUUAGUGAACCAAAAUGAUUGAGCAUUUUGUGGGUACUUCCCAUGCAGGGAGUGUUGGAAGGCUCAUGCCCUUAUAUCAGAAACAGAACAGGAACAGAGGUCUGAGCCUUUUUAUAAGGAAAUCAGGAUACUGUAUUUCAAAACUUUGGAGAUAGUGGGGAAAAAAGGAAAGUGGUUAUACGGCUUCCUGCACCAUCGAAGAAAAGCCUUUAGGGGGAGUCUCCUAUCCCUUAAUGUAAAGCUCUAAAAUCUAAGAUUAUAUUACAUUUAAUUCCUAAUGACUCCCACCUUCCCUAAGAAAAUGAAAGGAUGUACCUGUGUGGUAUGAAAAAGGGUGAUGUUCAGAACCUCAGGCACAAAGUGUCUGAAUUAAAUUCAUUCUGCCGAUACCAAGCAAUGUUCACCCCUCAAAAUUCACAGCUCAGUGGGAGAUCCCCAAAAUGUGGUGCUCACCUGCAGAUUUGUCAUGAGAAUUUUGCCCUUAAGUUGUGAUAAAGGGUUGCAUGUUAUGGGGGUCAGUGUGCAGGUAGACGUACAUCACUGCAUGUAUCAGGAGUAGAUCAAAUUCCCUGUUAGCAUAUAAAUGAAUAAAAUUAGAAUGUCUUUUACCCCACUGUUGGAACUACAUAAAGAGUAAACUCUUCUUAGGCACCAGGCUGUUACUUGAAAUUGUAUUCAGAUUUUUAAAAUUUUAUGAGACGUUUCCCUUUAGUUAAAAAAGAUAAUAAUGAUCAUUUGUACCUAAAAUUAGAUAAAAGUAUUGAUAUGGUUCUGUUUACUUUACUCCUGGUUAUUAUUGAGUUUGAGUUCAUUUAUUCAUCUUUUGAAAACAAGUAGUUUUUUGCUGUCUCUCAAAAAGAUCCUUGGAGUACUAAUCAAUUUCACUUACAAAAAAAUUCAAAAUUAGACUCCAAUCCUGCAACACACAUGUAGUUAACUUGACUACUGUGAGUAGUCUCAUUGAUUUCAGUGGGACAACUCACAGUAGCAAAGUUAAACGUGCUCACAUCCUUAGUAUUUACCAGAUAAAUGAAAUAACACCUUUUGUUUAUACAUUUUCUUUUUCUCUUUUAGUUUUACAUUACCAGGAACUGUUUAGUUUAUGGAUUCCUUCAUGGGGAAAUAAAUAUGACCAUUAAAUAAAAGUGAUGCAAACCAGAAUAUAAAAUAGAAAUCAUAUCCUUUAAAAUAGAACUGUCAAAAAUGUACUAAAUGUCCAGGACAAUGAUUUUAAAUGUAAAAUCACCAUCAAAAUAUUUUCUCCUAGUUUACCUACAAUAGCAUGAUGUGCUUCUGGCAACACAGAUUUUUUUCCUGUGAUUUUUUUUAGCACCCCCUUCCCAAUUUUGUCCCACUUGUAGCACAACCUCUCAACUUCUUGUGUCCUCACCUCCUCUUCUAGUCCCUUCCAAAAUAUUUGUGUUAAAUUAAACUGCUAAGUAAUGGGAUAGAUCCUUCAUCACUAAAGUCAGUAAGAAUUUUGUCAUUGACUUAAAAGGGAGCAGAAUCAGCCCCUACAGUACUUAGGUGGGAAUUCGCAAAAAGAAAAGGAGUACUUGUGGCACCUUAGAGACUAACCAAUUUAUUUGAGCAUGAGCUUUCGUGAGCUACAGCUCACUUCAUCGGAUGCAGUGGGAAUUAUAGACCCUACUCCUGCAAAGAAUUAAACAUGUACAUAUCUUUUCACACCUUAGUAGUUUCAUAGACUCCAGUGAGACCACUCAGGUAUGUAAAGUUGCACAUGUGCUUAAGUCUUUGAAAGAUCAGGGCUGUACAUAAUUAGAGAUGGAAAAAGACCCAUUUGAUCAUCCGAUGCAUCUCUUGAGUUGUUAUGACAAACUUCAUCACACAUAAGUAAUGAUCUCUGCUACUCUUACCUUCCCUUUUUAGAGAAUGAUCCUGGAAAAGUUUACAUACAUAAGUAAAGUUACUCACAUACAUGUUGGCAAGAUCAGGUGCUUAGAUCACACAUACACAUUUUCUGCAGCUAAGCCACAGGGAAUAAUACUUGUAUUUGCUAAAUAUGCAACAUAUUCAAAGGACGCCUUUAGCUUUCAAAUUUGUAUCAGGUUUUUUGUUUGUUAACUUUCUUUUGCUUACAAAAUUCUUUUAUAAGUUUGCAAUAUAGAGACCAAAAUUGAGAUGGAAGGGAAUUUUAUUUCCAAGCACUGAUUUUUUUUUCCCUCCCACCAGUGUUUCUCAUGCACUAGAUGUUGAUGUGUACUGUAACUGCUGUUUGUUUUUAUGCUUAUGCACCAGCGUUGUCAGAUGGAAAUUGUCCAGAUCUGGAAGUAAUGCUAAUUUAAGGGUAGCAGGUCAGCUUUCGCACUAAGUUUUAAGAUAGUGGUCUUCUUAUGUUUUUUUAAGAUGGAGAAGAGUAAGGCCUGAUUUGCCAAACACUUUUUUUUUCAGUAAAAUAUUUUAAAAGAGAAGAGAUGGAGCCUUAGAACAUCGAAAGCAGGGAAUAGUGGGUUUUCUUUCUCUCUGUAGAGAUGCUGGUUGAAAUCCUGGUCCUACUGAAGUGAGUAGGAGUGAGUUUGCCUCUGAUUUGAAUGGAAGCAAGAUUUCACUGUCUGUGUAAACAUGUGCAAAGGAAUCUUUGUGUCCAUAUUUUAUUUCCACACAAAGGUUUGUGGAGACAUUAACUCUCCUUCCAUAUUCAUUAAAAAAAAAGGAGUGAAAGAGGUUGUAUGAAUCACAAGAACAAUAGGCUGCCUGAAAUGUACAUUAAAAAGUACCUUAAUAUUUUUAUAUAUAGAUAGGGCACUUAUAUUAUUUUCUAGUAAAUUUGUGUGUGAAGAACUGAAGUUGAGCUCUGUGUUGCUCCUCAGUUUAUUUUAAAAUGAAUUUAGAGUUCAUGAAAGGUGCUGGAUUUGAAAGCCCUUGAGACUAGUCUUUUGUGCACCCCACACUGCCCCAGUAGUGUGCCUCAACCUUGAUCUGGAGGGCCUGCCAUUGAAAAGAGAGAGAGUAGUUCUGUCUCCAGUGCUUGAAGUCAUUUGUCUCUCUGCUGAGUGCCACAGUUGCCAAUUUUUAUUGGAAACCUGCUUGUUAGGGAUUGGACCACCAGCUUAUUAGACAAUCAGCUAUAGUAAUAACUUUCAGUCACCAACCUGCUCCGGUUUUGAAGUAGUGACCCAUAGUGAAAGGCACCAUUUCCAAUGAGCCUGAAACAUCCAGUCCACCUAUGAGCUUUGUAUUUUAAAGGGAAAUAUUUUAGUUUAAUUAAUUAUUUUGAGUAGCUCAAACUAGCAGAGGUGAUUUAAAAACUUUCUUCUGUGUGAAUCAUAGAAAUAUGGGGCUGUAAGGGAUCUCGAGAGGUCAUCUAAUCCAGCGCUCUGCACUGAGGCAAGACCAAGUAUACCUAGACCAUCUGUGGCAGGUGUUUGUUAAACCUGUUCUUAAAAACCUCCAGUGACAGGGAUUCCACAACAACGCUUCCACAACCUGUUGCAGUAGUUAACUAUUCUUGUAAUUUGAAAGAUUUUCCUAAUAUAUAACCUCAUCUCCCUUACUGCAGAUUAAUCCAAUUACUUCUUGCCCUAACUUUAGUGGACACAGAGAACAAUUAUUCACCAUCCUCUUUAUAACAGCCCUUAACAUAUUUGAAGACUGUUAUCAGGUCCCCCCAAGUCUUCUUUUCUCAAGACUAAACAUGCCCAAUUUUUUAAACCUUUCCUCAUAGGUCAGGUUUUCUAAACUUUUGAUCAUGUCUGUUGCUCUCCUGUAAGCUCUCUCCAGUUUGUCCACAUCUUGAAAUGUGGUGCCCAAAACUGGACACCAUACUCCAUGAGGCUGGAAUCUCUGCGUUAGAAGGAUAACAAAUUCCUACAGUGGCUAAAACACAUUUGAAUUUUCCCCUGUCCCAUAAUUAGCAAAUGAAAUACUGUAUGUAGAGAGGGUUUGGAAUUAGAUGGGUAAUUUAAUGAGGGACCAGCUGUUACAAUAUUCAGAGUUGUAUAUUUUAAUUUUUUUCCCUUGAUAUAAUGACUUUUCAGCUGAUAAAUAUUGCACUGAUGUCUAUUUCCUGGAUCAUUUAAUUAUUUUUAAGUGUUUUAGCUCUGUUCCUAGCCAUCUUUAGUACUUUUUGUUGUUGUUAAAUAUGGGCCAAAUUCGGUAAGAUUUGGUCCUAUACAUUGAAAGUUGUAGGGCACAACAAAUUUACAGAUUAAUGAUGCAAAAAAAAAAUUGCCAGGAGAAGUAAAUUGCAACUGAUGAUAGCUCCAGUUCCAAUCCCAUUUGGGUUUGUUUGGGUGGCUUUGAGGGUAGGAAUCAUGUUGAACCACAUAGUUUGCAAAUAAAAACUGUUAGACUCCCUUCCGUACAAGUGACAACUCAUUUCUCUUCAGACAAGCUGAUGUGGCAAUUUAAUGUUAGCAAAUGAUCACAUUAAGGAUCUAUCUCAAUAUUUCAUGGUGCAAAAAAACAGAUAUAAGAAAUUCAGUUCAGCCCUCAAAUGUAAAUGAGUUAUACUUAAAUACGUUGUGUGUGUAGCUUCCUUUGUUUCUCCGGACAUUAUUGGUCUGGUGCUGCAAGCCCUUACUCAUGCAAGUUGUCCCAUUGAAGUCUUGAUGCAACUGCUCAUGUGAGGAGCAGGUUUGCAGGAUUAUUUGGCUUGUAAUCUUAUUUAGCCAUAAACAUAGGUACAGCAAAAUGUAAAGGGCAGGUUGAAAUCAACAAAAUGAUGUUGGUUAUGAAGGGAAAGAGGCCAAUGAGCUCUUCAUAGAUACAAAUCAUUGCUUUGGCUGCACACAUUAGUUCAAUUUACCAAUAUUAUCAUAUUUGCAGCUUGUUACAGUAAUAAAUUUAGAAUGAAUAACUGGACCUUCCACUCAAAAAACGUAGUAAAACUCUGAUCCUGCAAACACACGAAGUCAAUGGGAUGCCUCACAGGCUUAAAUUUAAGAUGUAUAAGAAUUUGUAGGAUUGGAGCCUAAAUUGUUCAUUCUUGAGUCUUCCCUGAAAUAGACACUUUAUUUUUAAAAUUUUUAGCAAUGCAAGAGUGUAUUUAUGCAUCAAUAUAAUUGAUACCUGGAAUGGGAUUUGGCUUUCUUCUGUUUCUUAAUUUAUCAGACCUCUCUCCACAGCUACUUAAAAUAUUUCUAUGAACAUGUCCUUUCAUCUUGUUUUAAAUUGUGCAUUCAUAUUUUUUCAUUAAAACAGUUAACAGCAGUGCAGUUUUUAUCCAAACUUAUGUUUGGUUACUGUUCAUCAUUUAAGUUUAAAAUAUAUAAGGAAGCCUCUCAUGUAAUGGGAAAACUUGCCAUAAAAAUGUAUAAAGGUGUAUGCCCUUUUCUUGGGUACAUGUUUUCACGUUUAAUAAAAACACAGUUUCCAUUUAUAACUUGAAACCUUCAGUUUCUAGCCACCAUUUAAUUUCUAUGUGUAAAGGAGGUAGAGAAAAUAAAUUGCUUUUGUUUUUCAUUUGAAUUCAGCAUACUAAAUAUUUGCUGAAUGACACAGCUUUGAGAAAUUGGAUCAAAACAUUUUUAUUCAAUCGUAACAAAUUACAUAACAAAUAACAAAUUACAUUCAAAAACUGUGAUUCCUAAAAUCAUAUGUGAGAAAAUUAUAAAGGCUCUAUUCACAAAUAUUUGAGUUUUAUGUGUACACCAAUUUUUUAAACUAUAUGAUGGAUGGCCAUCUAUGGCCAGUUAGCUGUGUAUGGCUUUGUAUUUGCAUUAAGCAGACACUGAACGACACAAAGUAGACACACUGGCAUGUGCACAGAGUUUGGUAAGUAGUGGAUGAUUCACCUGCAAGAGUACACAAAGCCAUUCACUAAAUUCCAGAUACUCCAAUGUGUGACAAUCUCUGCUGCCUAGUUAUUCACGUCUGUAAACGUUACAGUAUGUGUUCACAUGAUGAUGCAUUUGGGGGCUUCCUCCCGAUCUUCAUAUGCCAAGAAGAGAAUCCCCAGUUUCAUUUUACUAACAGCAAAAAUUUGGCGGCACUCAAGUUUGUAUAGAGAAUCCAGGGCAAACAUGGAUGAUUUAAACAAGAUUUUGGUAUUUUCUCAGUGCCCUGUUUUACUGAAAUGGGGAAUAGGAGAACUGAAACACAUGGAAAGUAGGAUUGUAUUAUUUAUAUUUACUCCUGCCCCUGCACAGAAGGAAAUGAUAACAAUUACUUCUAUACCCACUUUUGACAGAAACCAAAUAAAAUGAAACCACUGUUAAUAAUUAACUGAUGUGAAAAUUAGGGAGGCAAAUUAUCAGCUGUGUAAAUUAGCUGUUCCUAGGUUUUAUUUAUAGAGUUAAUGUCUAUAUUCCUUUUUUCUCCUCUCUCUUUGGACUUCUGUUUUCCACCCAUCCUAUUGCAUGCCAGCUGUUUGCACAAAAAUCGUGUGCAAUUGCUGCAAGAAUAAUUUACACAAAAUCCAUGCAAAAUGUUGCUUACAUUUGUGAAUAGAGUCCUAACCGUACAUAGAUUAUUUCAUUAGAGAUGUUGCAAUAAACAUUUUUUGUGUAAGAAAUAGCCUGUUUCCUCAAGGCCUGAUCCUGUACGUUGCGAGGAAUCCUCAGCAGUAGAAAUUAGGGCAUGUAGCAUCUCACAGGAUUAUGCUCUAAAUCAGGCAACAGACACUCUGUGCCUCUUAAAAUGAUCUAAAACAAGAGUUGCUGUUUCCCAUAGAAAAUGGGGAGAAAAAAUCCAUCCUGAAUAAAACACACAUAAUUGAAAUAGAAGGCUGCAACACUGCUUUACUAAAGCUGUCCUUGGAAAGUCCAUGAUUUGAGAAUUGUACUUUAUCAGUGAGAAACUGGUUAGCGACACACAUCAACAAAAGAGAUAGCCCAGAUUUGGUAACUGCCCUGUUCUUCAAUAUAUAAGUGCACCCCCCAGAGACUAUAGGUCAUAGUGGGAGACCAUUCAGAUGAAGGUGAGAUCCCCCUCUGAACCAAGAGAGAACAUUACAGACUGGAACAUAUAAUCGCCAUAGCCCAUGACUAUUAUAGAUAAGGGAUGGGCAAAGUCUGAGUGCCUUGCGUUUUGACAACUAGACUAAGAGUGCAUCAGAAAUUAAAGUGUUUGCAGAAAACUGAAAGUUGAUAUUUUUAAAAUUAUACUUUUAAACAAUAUUAUUCAGAAAUUUGACCUUCAAAAAUGUCAAUAAAAUAUUUCCCAGAGCUAUUAAAAAAUUUCUAAAGAACUCCCAGUUUUUAUUGGACUUACCACAUUUCAGAUUAUUCUUAAAUGGAAAAAAAAUUAAUUCCUAAGUAAAAACAGAAAAAUCAGCAUUAAACAAUGGUAUAAAUGAAGUGGAAGCUGGUGCUUUGGGGGCUUUUCUAUUUCUAAUAAAAUUUAAGUUUCAAGAAAAAAAGAGAGCAUCUUUACAAGAAACAUCUAUAAAUUUGUAAUGGCAGUUAAAGAAAUGUAAAUCAAAUUGAUUUAAGUGUGCAAAGACCAACUUUGAUUUGGGCUUUUUGUGGCAAGUAUCCCCUUGCAAAAAAUAUUGUGGUGCAUCUACAAUUUUUGUGUGUAUGUCUAUGUGUGUGCACAUGCAUGCACAUGCCCAAUGUUAAAAACCCUUUAUUACAUAGGUUGGCCGUUCAUGCAUCUGGCAACACCUGCUUACUGUUGGGGGGAAGGAAGAAUUUACUAUCUGGUGGAUUAUAUCUAUUUCAGUUAUUUAAAGCAUUGGUAAACUAUUGUCAACUUGUUCACAUUUGCACAAGACAUUCUAUGUAGAAAAAUGUAUAUUUUUUAAUGCUGGCAUUAUAACUUCGGCAAUCAUGCAUACUCUGUACAUUAUUGUAGGUUUUGUGUAAGAAAUCUUGUCACCAUUGCUUAAGACUGUAAAUUCUUGUUUCAAAGCAAGAGGUGGCUUUUGAUUGAACAGCCAUGUGUAUUUUAUGGUACUGUAGUACUUGUUCUGUUGUCAAAACUUGCUGUUCACAUGUGGUUAAAGCCUUGUUAAGCACGCUUAGGGGUUUCAGAAUUUAUUUUACACAGCACAUAUAUCAGCCAUUAACAGGGACAUUAAAUCAUAUGUAACGAAAGAAAUUUCACCCGAGUUCAGGUCCUUUUAGAGAGCUUGGUGUUAGAGUUCAGCAAGCAAUUGCUGGCUGCAGUUUAACACAUUUCAUUGUCUUAAUGUUGGGUAUGCAUCAGUGUGUGCUUUCCAGUUCAGCUGAGAUUACCCUUCCCAACCCAAAGCCUGAGUAAUUGGACUCUGUGCAGGGAACUAAGCCGGGAAUGGAUAUCCUUCCUUUCACCAUCUCCAACCCACAAUGCGGGCUACAGAACUACAGCAUGGCACUUCACAGCCACUGUUCCAGCUUAUAGGGGUCCCUGCCACUGUAACCAUAUAAGCAUGGAUCCAGUGGCCCCUCCUCUGGUCUACUUCUUCUGCAUCAGGUACUGGACACAAGUGCAGGAGAUAAGGAAGCACUACCUGCAUACUAUGCUCACAAUCCCUACACAGCGCUACUAAUGUGCCCAUGUGAGGUACAAAGUCUUGCCCUCCUCUACUAAAUGAAUUGCAUUCUUAGUAAGAAUUAUUCAGGUGGCCGGCAAAGGAAAGUAAAAUUGACCUUCCCUCCCUCUCCAUUUUUUUUUUUUUUUUGUUAUUUUGUACAAAGAAGACCUGAAAGGUUGUAGGUUUUUGGUUUUUGCUUGUUAUUUUUUUACAUAUUAGGAAUUCAGACCCUGUCUGGGCAUGGAUAUUUUAUGAUAUCCAGACAACUAGUGAAACAGCUGACAGCAUGAGCCAAGAAACUUGAGCUAUUGAGAGAGAAGGAAUUUUUACUCAGACCAUUUAAAACUGGUUUUUGCUUGUUUUCUUUAACAGCUAUUUAACUGAAAUAACUAAUUAAUAUUUUGAAUAAAGGAAGCCUUUAUUAAAUACUUGACACCUUCACCCUUUCAAUUAAAAUGUUAAAAGCCCACAGUAAACAUCCCUUCUACUUCCUAGUGGUUCUCCCCCAAAAAAUCAAGGAUAUAUUUGUGAUACUGGUAAGGUAAAAAAGAAAAAACUUCAAAAGAUCAUUUGAGAGCCCCUUUAUAUAUCAUUGAAAAGGCAAAAAGAGCACAAACCCAAUUAUACCAAAAGAUCCUUUGCAGGUCACCUUUAAACAACUAGACAGGUGUGUCAUAGAGAAAGAAUAGUUUCCAAAAUUGUGAAUUAGACUACUAGUCAAUCCCUAAUUUUAUAAAGAGAGGAAAAUCUUUAUUCAAAAUGCAACAUUCAAAAUAAGCAGAAAUUUAAUUUGAGAAAACAAAGAAAUGUUCUAGGAUAUAGUUCAGAAAACACAAUCCUGUUUCCAUACAAGGGUACACUAAUAAGUUCAAAUGAAUUAAAAUCAAAGCUGCUAGUAUGUGGGGGGGUCUUCCUAAAUUUUGUGGGUUUCUGCACCAGCUGUCCUAGUCCCCCAAACUUGAUCUUCAUAGUCUACACCUGCUGCAAGAACCACUCCAUUUCACACCACCACCAUAUAAAGUUAAAAAACAAGUCUCACAAAUAUCAUCUUUGAGGGAAGAUUUCUGCUUUAAAAGCACAUAAACUAGUGAGCCUUACUUUAGAAUGGAAAAUCAUUCCAGGUGCAAAUCUCUUUAGACCUUGUUUGUGAAUAAUUUUUAAAAGCAUCCUUUUUAAUCAUUUAAGAAGAGAAGCAAUAAGUACCCAGAGAUCCAACAAGCUGCCUGACAUCCAUCACUUCACUUCCCAAAUGAUUGCGUUUUGCUUUGGGAGAUAUUUACUACUGUACCUGCAACCACUUGAAAGUUGCCCUCACAAUGCCUCUGUUUUUGAAUCAUUGGUCUAAGUCCUUUAGAAAACAAAUCAUCUAUCAAAGAAUGGAGCAGUCCAUAACUACUUUGUGAAAUAUUCUCCUGUUCUCCACCAUCUAUUCCAUGUGAUGGCGUUUUGGUAUUAUUGGCACUAUUGUGCAGAAAUGUGCACACUUAAUUUGAUGAUGAUUUUGUAGUUAUGUAUUGAGACAGUGCCCCUCCUUCCCUCCCAACAGAAGUGUCUCAGAAGGCUUAACAUGUAACACAAUCACUGUGGUUGCCUGGUGUGAAAAGGAAGCCACACUACAGGAAAAAUUCAUAGUUCCCUUGAAUGCCAUGAAACCAAGCUCCACGGUUGUACCCAAGGAAAAUUUGUGACCGGGGCAUGGCCAAUGGGUCCAUGAAUUGUGUGGCUCAACUAACCACAAACAUGUGGGAAGGUACCUUGCACCGCUGCAUCUUCUGCUGCAGCCCAUAUGUUCUAGCAGCAACCAUGGCCCAGCUCCAGGGGUAUGCCACAUCCUGGGGUCAGGUCCCCCAUACCAAACUCAUCUUUUGGAUUUAACACAAUUGUGGGUGAGAAUUUCACCCCAAAACAAAACUGGAAUUUUUGUGAAAUACUGCAUGGUUUUCUGUGCUCUUCAAUCUUGGAGUCUAACUUUUCACAUUAGAUUCUUGCCUUCAGCAUUUUGACUCUCUUAUAUUUUCCUUUUUUAAUAGAAUUUGAGCUGAUUUUUGUUUGAAUAGUUUUACCCCCUUUUAAAAAUGUUAACCUUAGUUCAGUGGAUAUUGUUAAUUUUUUAUUAAUAAUCUUUGAUGGGUGCACAAAAGAGGUUCAUUCAUUUAAACUAUCCAAUAAGGAAACCAUUACAUAGGGGAACUAAAAUCAACCAAUCAUGUUUGUUGCUGUCUAACUUCAAAAUAUUAGGUAGUUGUAGCCAAAAAGUGUGAAUGUGCAUAGCCUUUGUUUUAGAUGAAUUUUCUAUGCAUGGCAGUCAGCAUUUAUUUUCCUCUGUCACGAGUAUUACUGAACAACGUGGGCUGUUUGGAAAGUCAGUGAUCUAGCAGUUCAUAGUUCAGGAUUUUGAGUAGAUCAGUCGUACUGGCAGUUCAUGUUUUUCACACUGUCUCUUGUCAACGUCUGCCUUUUGCCACAUCCCGAUUUAGAGAUGUGGGAAUCCCAUGUUUUAGAUGAUUAGCUCCUUGUAGGUGGUAUCAUUGCAUGGGCUAACAAGCUCCUUGCAGAACAUAUUCUACCCUAAGCCCCAUAGCCUGCACCAAACAUCAAGCCUCCCGGUUUUCCUGUUAUGCUACUGCAACUUGCCAACACUCUCCACUAAUUAUUGGCAGCAAAUCACAAUACUGAUUGCAGCAAGAGCUCCCUCUCCUACAUGUUAAGGAACAGUGGAGAUUAAAAAAAUAUAAAUGUGGUCACUCAUGCCUUUAUCACGUUCCUAGUGUGCCCAACUUCUCACAACCAAAGUGCUGAGAUGCAGAAGUUACCUCUGAACUUAGCUUAAAACUUCAUCAGACAAGAGUAGAUUUCAUUUUCUUUCAUGAGCCUACCAGCAGCUAUACUGAUAUGUUUGCUUUGUUUUCUGAAUUGCAAGUCAUUUUAUAUUGAAAAUGAAUAUGCUUAUUGUGUGGCAUUGAAUGAAGUGUUGGAAAAGGCUGUUUAUUAUGUGCUAAUACAGUCACUGCUUACCAGUUAGAUAUUUCAGGGGCUGAACUGCAGCCAAAAGUUAUGUUCAAGAAUCAUCUUAAUUUUAAUGUUAUACUCACAUGAAAACGGGGCUGUUUCUCUUGCUAUUUCUGGGUUUCAUUGAAUUUUAGGGAAAAGGGCAAAUGGCACAAUUGUUGUAAUUGGAAAAGUGACUGUGAUGGCAGCUAACUGACUGCUUUUCAGGUGCAUCAAAACAACAGGAUCCAUUCUGUGACUCAGCUGAUACACUUCCAGCUGUCUUGGUAAAUCUAUAGUGAAUGAAUAAUUUUUAUGUUCAAAAGGGAUUUGCCAUUCUAUGGACAUAGAAGAUCACCCAGAUGACCUGCCAGAGAGGCAGAAAUAUAGAGAGGCAAAAAUAUAGCAAUUAGUCUGUGAUCAUAUGUAGCAUUAUUCAUUUUAAUGUGCCAUUAUAUUUAUACCUUCAAUUUUUUUUAGCAUUCUAUGAACUUGAGGCAGUUCGGAGGAGAAAAAUAAAUCUCUCUCAUGUAUAGCAAAAACAAUGUAUAAUUUACAUUAAAUGUAGACCACUACCAUACCUUUUAUUUCCUGUGCCUUUAACAUAUGUGAGUAGAUAAACUUCCUCCCCUUUUCUUGGUGGUUUGAUAUCUUUACCUGCUGUCUAGUAACUCUGAUGUCCUUCUUCAAUAUGGAAACAUUUGACAUAAGAACAUUUGAGACUAUUUGGGCUAGUGUGUAUGUUUCACCCAGUGGGGCAUUACCCAUUCAAGAAUGUCAUAUUCUUCAUAAGAUCAUAAAACACAAAUUUGCUUUCUGCCAUCUCCAUCUGUGGGACUGCUCGUAAAGCAAUUAGAAAUAUUGCUACACAAAUGUCAUUCUGUUUACCCAAUACAGGCUCCAUCCUGCAUCUCUUGUUCACUCACAACUCCCAUUCACCUGACAAUUAUUUGAGAAGGAGUUUGGAGAGUACAGAGAAUGCAGAACGAGGACCUUCACAGGGGUGUAUGCUGGUGUAAGCCAGUGUCUUUUCGGCAACCAGAGAAAUGUAGCGUUUUCCCAACUUCUUUCUAGUGAAAACACUGAGCGUGCUUAGCACUUUAACAAGUUUCAGAGACACAAGUGUCAGACUGUAUAAUUGCAUCUCAUCUAAUUUUGACACUUAACAACUAAUAUUUUAUGAAGUAUGAAUCUCAAUAGUAUCUACAUGCUUUGAUUCUGAUAUACCAAUCAACAGCAAAACUGAACGGUGAACAGCCAGGUUUACACACAAAAAAUCACAUUUUUUUUUAAAAAGGUUCCUUAUUUUGAUUUUGUUCACUAUUUCUAGAACAUUUUCAACAUUAAAAUAUUUUUCUACCUGGUUAUCUGAGGCUUAUCUCUCUUCACCAACCAGAAUAGUCUGCAGCCUUCUACACUAUGAAAGACAACAGAACUUCACAUAUAUUGGCUUUGUACCUGCCUAAUGCAUUAUUGAAAUUUUCAGCAAAGCCAUAAAGCCUUUUAUUUUAUAUGAGUUUGUGUAAUUAAAUUAGAAACUUCAGGUGUAAAGGAGUCUCCCUAUCCACCAUUUUACUCUCAUUCUCUCUGAUUCCUGGGGGUUCAUAGUUGCCUUUUUGAAGCUACAGAGUUAUCUCUUUAAACCAGUGCAGUCUAAGAGCUGUGUUAGAUUCUAUUUAUGGAGUAUAGCAUUUGACUGUGGAAGGUUCACUUUGGUAAGGAGGUGUAACAUAUGUCAUUAGGGACAUGGACACUUGGAAAUAGGAUUGGUAAGAAGACUAAAAACCAAGAUGGUACAAGUAAAAAUAUAAAAAUUUGGCAUCAAAAUCUGGUCUAGAAUGGUUGGGGUUUUGUUUUGUUUUUAAACUUUUGUCCUUUAUAUGUUAUUUUGCAGAAGAGGACUUUGGGGACUGUCAGACCACAUGGGGAAUUUUAGAAAUAUAUCACUCAGCAAUCAUUUUAUAAAGUUGAACUUCUAAAUGCACUAUGAUUUAUUACAAAACAUAUUUUCUUCUGCUUGCAGACAUGGUGGUUCCAUUUUGUGAUAAGUUAAAUUAAACAGUUAAUUUGUUGCACUGCAUAGCUGCAUGAAUUCAUCAAGUGUACAUAUUUACCUGUGCUACAUUAUUUUGGGUUUUGUAUUUGAAUUUGCAGUAUUGAUUAUUUUUGUAUUUUACUUUGCCUCUGUUAUUGGAAUUGUAAUAGACAUAAUUUAUACAUAUGAUUUUACAACUGUUUUGCAACCGAAAAGUCUUCUUUAAAGUUUAAAGUUUUAUUGAUGGAAACUCAUUAAAAUGGUAUAAGAAUUAUAUUAACAA